AUAGUUAUCGGGAGCAGAAUGGGGUAGUGGACUUACAUCGAAAGGAAGAGCUGGAAAACAACUUUUUGAUCAUUUUGUGUAUAUGCUAUUUCCUUCUGUGUCUGCUUGGAAGCUUUAUUAGCUUAAGCAAACAAAUUAGCACCACUUUUGUUAGGCAGUUAUGGGAUAAUCCUACUACUUCAGUUUAUGACUGCUUCGCAUGAACUAGGUCCUCAGUGACCCCAUGUUUUGUUACACCGCUAGUAAAUAUAUAAAAUUAUCGUUAAUCCAAAAUCACUUGAAAAUAAA